CCUGAACCAUUCAUCGGUCAUCAUACUUCAGCAAUUACCGGUCCCAAAGCAGAGGACCCCGGACUGCAAGGAUGGUUGUGUCCGAUACACCUCACAUGCUGCAUACAUCAGACAAAGCCUACAGUCGUCUCCUAAACCUAAACAUGUGGACGAGAACCUUCUGCAAGAGCAAAAACAUCAACUUUGUGGAAAACUGGGAUGUCUUCUGGUAGAAACUGCUUUUCCACAGACAUGAUGGCCUGCAUCAAAAUAGGUUCUGCACUUAGGUGUCCUCCCCAACAAUAUCUCAAAAGGAGCUGCAGUUUUCUGCGCAGCAAGAUAACUUACAAGACAGCUGCACAUCUCCCUCCUCUUCUGAAUGCAAUACUCUAAAAAAUGCCAGUCUUUCACCUACCCCUCAAUCCAGUGAGCAAGGAUGUUCCAGAAAACUUUUAAGAGAAGCCAGCCCCUCUAAAAUCAUUCAACUACCAAGCCCCGAAUACAUAUUUCAUAGUGACAGUGAGUUGGAGCAGGUCAGAAAACACUGCAGCGCAUAGGGAAAGAGGAGCAUUGUAUUCUUUCAAAGGAUCUUCUGUGUAGAUUAAUUAGAAAUAAAGUAACCAACUGAGGACAACAAGGGAAGACAAAUAUACCUUCAAACAUGAGGUUUCUUCAAUGGCAAAACGUAUAGUCAAGUAUUAUCCAAUGCUACGUGUAGCUGAAGAUCAAAAUUCAUGGUUGAGUGUAAACAACUAGUUUUUAUUGGGGUUUUAGACUGAGCAGUCACACCUUGUAUUCACUUGCACACUUUUUAAAAGAGUAUAAUCUCAUAACAGGAACCUGUGUUUAAACAAUUCCUGAAAAGGCUACAGAA